CGGGUGAGUAACGCGUGAGGAACCUGCCUCAAAGAGGGGGACAACAGUUGGAAACGACUGCUAAUACCGCAUAAGCCCACGGCUCGGCAUCGAGCAGAGGGAAAAGGAGCAAUCCGCUUUGAGAUGGCCUCGCGUCCGAUUAGCUAGUUGGUGAGGUAAUGGCCCACCAAGGCGACGAUCGGUAGCCGGACUGAGAGGUUGAACGGCCACAUUGGGACUGAGACACGGACCAA
rnacentral:rRNA from 1 species